rnacentral:lncRNA from 1 species
CGGCCGCUCGGGAGGGAGGCGGCGGCGUGGCCGCGACCAGAGCAACUAAAGCAACCCACAAUUGCAUUUCCUUUCAAGCCGGUAACUUAAGUUACGAUGGCAAUUGAUUUACUUUAAAAAUAUAGAUUUGCUGGCUUCCUUUCAGACGUACGAAAUCAAAAUCUGCAAGAUCUGGAUCCAAGUUUUAUGCUUUAAACACCUUUCCUGGUAACUGGGACACUUCAGGCGCAGCUCCUCUCCACCAGAGACCACUGAAGCAUGAACACUUCUCUUCAAGGCCGGACUAGCAGCGAGACCUCAGAUAUUAACAUCUGUGUCUGUAAAGUGGCACAAUUGCUAUAAAUAAUCUCUCAGACCUUCCCUGUGUCUAUGGCCUGCCACGAGCCUUUAUCACCCAAUCCAGAGUACAUCAGGCUGAGAACGUG